GACGAACGCGGGCGGCGUGCUUAACACAUGCAAGUCGAACGCUGAAGCUCAGCUUUUCUUGGGUGGAUGAGUGGCGAACGGGUGAGUAACACGUGAGUAACCUGCCCUCUUCUUUGGGAUAACGCCCGGAAACGGGUGCUAAUACUGGAUAUUCACUGAUCUUCGCAUGGGGGUUGGUGGAAAGGUUUGUUCUGGUGGGGGAUGGGCUCGCGGCCUAUCAGCUUGUUGGUGGGGUGAUGGCCUACCAAGGCUUUGACGGGUAGCCGGCCUGAGAGGGUGACCGGUCACAUUGGGACUGAGAUACGGCCCAGACUCCUACGGGAGGCAGCAGUGGGGAAUAUUGCACAAUGGGCGAAGGCCUGAUGCAGCGACGCCGCGUGAGGGAUGGAGGCCUUCGGGUUGUAAACCUCUUUCGCUCAUGGUCAAGCCGCGACUUUGGUUGUGGUGAGGGUAGUGGGUAAAGAAGCGCCGGCUAACUACGUGCCAGCAGCCGCGGUAAUACGUAGGGCGCGAGCGUUGUCCGGAAUUAUUGGGCGUAAAGGGCUUGUAGGCGGUUGGUCGCGUCUGCCGUGAAAUUCUCUGGCUUAACUGGGGGCGUGCGGUGGGUACGGGCUGACUUGAGUGCGGUAGGGGAGACUGGAACUCCUGGUGUAGCGGUGGAAUGCGCAGAUAUCAGGAAGAACACCGGUGGCGAAGGCGGGUCUCUGGGCCGUUACUGACGCUGAGGAGCGAAAGCGUGGGGAGCGAACAGG
rnacentral:rRNA from 1 species